GACGAACGCUGGCGGCGUGCUUAACACAUGCAAGUCGAACGGAAAGGCCCUGCUUUUUUGGGGUGCUCGAGUGGCGAACGGGUGAGUAACCCGUGAGUCACCUGCCCUUGACUUUGUGAUAACUUCAGGCAACUGGUGCUAAUACCUGCUAGGAGCUCCUGCUGCAUGGUGGGGUUUGGACAGUUUCGGCGGUUGGGGAUGGACUCGCGGCUUAUCAGCUUGUUGGUGGGGUAGUGGCUUACCAAGGCUUUGACGGGUAGCCGGCCUGAGAGGGUGAACGGCGACAUUGGGACUGAGAUACGGCCCAGACUCCUACGGGAGGCAGCAGUGGGGAAUAUUGCACAAUGGGCGGAAGCCUGAUGCAGCAACGCCGCGUGCGGGAUGAAGGCCUUCGGGUUGUAAACCGCUGUAGCCUGUGACGAAGCGUGAGUGACGGUAAUGGGUAAAGAAGCACCGGCUAACUACGUG
rnacentral:rRNA from 1 species